UCUCCGUAGGUGAACCUGCGGAGGGAUCAUUACUGAGUGAGGGUCUCCGGGCCCGACCUCCAACCCCAUGUUGUUCAUACCAUGUUGCCUCGGGGGCGACCCGGCCUUCGGGCGUCGGGGCCCCCGGUGGACCACCCAACCCUGCAUCGUUGCGUCUGAGUCGAAAUAUAAAUCAAUCAAAACUUUCAACAACGGAUCUCUUGGUUCUGGCAUCGAUGAAGAACGCAGC
rnacentral:misc_RNA from 1 species